GACAGAGGAGGCAAGCGUUAUCCGGAAUUAUUGGGCGUAAAGCGUUCGUAGGUGGUUUGACAAGUCUGGGGUUAAAGCCCGGAGCCCAACUCCGGAUCGGCCCUGGAAACUGUCAGACUUGAGCAAGGUAGGGGUUGCGGGAAUUCCCGGUGUAGCGGUGAAAUGCGUAGAUAUCGGGAAGAGCACCAGCGGCGAAAGCGCGCAACUGGGCCAUUACUGACACUGAGGCACGAAAGCUAGGGGAGCGAAUGGG
rnacentral:rRNA from 1 species